rnacentral:rRNA from 1 species
UACGUAGGGGGCAAGCGUUGUCCGGAAUCAUUGGGCGUAAAGCGCGUGUAGGCGGUUCGGUAAGUCCGCUGUGAAAGUCGGGGGCUCAACCCUCGGAUGCCGGUGGAUACUGUCGAGCUUGAGUACGGAAGAGGCGAGUGGAAUUCCUGGUGUAGCGGUGAAAUGCGCAGAUAUCAGGAAGAACACCCGUGGCGAAGGCGGCUCUCUGGGACGGUACUGACGCUGAGACGCGAAAGCGUGGGGAGCGAACAGG